rnacentral:rRNA from 1 species
AUUGAACGCUGGCGGCAGGCCUAACACAUGCAAGUCGAACGAGUGGCGGACGGGUGAGUAAUGUCUGGGAAACUGCCUGAUGGGGGGGGAUAACUACUGGAAAAGGUAGCUAAUACCGCAUACCAUCGGAUUUGCCCAGAUGGGAUUAGCUGGUAGGUGGGGUAAAGGCUCACCUAGGCGACGAUCCCUAGCUGGUCUGAGAGGAUGAACGCCCACGCUGGAACUGGGACACGGUCCAGACUCCUACGGGGGACCGCAGUGGUGCAUAUUGCACAAGGGGCGAGAGCCUGAGGCAGCCAUGCCGCGUGUAUGAAGAAGGCCUUCGUGUUGUAAAGUACUUUCAGCGGGGAGGCGUUAUCCGCAGAAGAAGCACCGGCUAACUCCGUGCCAGCAGCCGCGGUAAUUC